rnacentral:rRNA from 1 species
UACGUAGGGUGCAAGCGUGUCCGGAAUUAUUGGGCGUAAAGAGCUCGUAGGCGGUUUGUCGCGUCUGGUGUGAAAAAUCCAGGGCUUAACCCUGGACCUGCAUCGGGUACGGGCAGACUAGAGUGCGGUAGGGGAGAUCGGAAUUCCUGGUGUAGCGGUGAAAUGCGCAGAUAUCAGGAGGAACACCGGUGGCGAAGGCGGAUCUCUGGGCCGUAACUGACGCUGAGGAGCGAAAGCAUGGGGAGCGAACAGG